UAGUUAUAUGCUUAUCUCAAAGAUUAAGCCAUGCAGGUGCAAGUACCCGCUGCUUCUCGCGAGAGACAGCAGCUAAACCGCGGAUGGCUCAGUAAAUCAGACAGAGUUCACUAGAUGAACGCACCAGUAGUCGGAUAACUGUGGAAAACCCAGAGCUAAUACGUGAAACCGAAGCUCCGACUGGCUAGACCUCCCGCUCCUCGUGGGUGGCGGUCGCUGGGACGAGCGGUUUAGUCUGAACGAAAACCAUGUCGACUUCCGGGUCGACUCUGUGGUGACUCCGGGCUACAGUUGUCGGAUCGCAGUGCCCCCUCCGAGGGGCGGCGACGGAUCUUUCAAAUGUCUGACUCAUCAACUAGAUGGUAGUAGCUUGGGCUACAAUGGUGGUGACGGGUGACGGGGAAUCAGGGUUCGAUUCCGGAGAGGAAGCCUGAGAAACGGCUACCACAUCUAAGGAAGGCAGCAGGCGCGCAAAUUACCCACUCCCGGAACGGGGAGGUAGUGACGAGAAAUACCGUUCGGGACGACCCCCGCAAAGGGCGUGCCCGUCCGGAAUGAGUACAGCGUACAUCCCUGUACGAGGAUCGAUUGGAGGGCAAGUCCUGGUGCCAGCAGCCGCGGUAAUACCAGCUCCAGUAGCGUAUGCUAAAGUUGCUGCAGUCAAAAAGCUCGUCGUUGGAUCUUGGCCCGGCGGCGGCGCGCGCGAUCCCGAGGAGGACGCGCGCGGGCGUCGGACGGGUGAGACUUGCCGGUGUGACCCGUCGGGAUGCCCUUCGUUGGGCGUCUUCUUGACGACGGGCCGGCGCUGUUUACUUUGGACAAAUGUUGGAGUUCAAAGCAGGCCUUAGUGGCCGGAGACUGUUGCUUGGAAUAACGGAAUUGGGCUUCGGCUCGUUUUCGUUGGUUUUCGGAGGACGAAGCGUUGGUUAAAAGGGACUGACGGAGGCAUUCGUACUACGGGGCGAGAGGUGAAAUUCUGAGACCCUCGUAAGACGAACAAGAGCGAAAGCAUCUGCCUAGGAUGUUUUCAUUAAUCAAGAACGAAAGUCGGAGGAGCGAAGACGAUUAGAUACCGUCGUAGUUCCGACCAUAAACGAUGUCGACUAGCGAUCCGCCGCCGUUUUUUCACAAUGAACUCGGUGGGCAACUCUCGCGGGAUACCAAAGUGUUUGGAUUCCGGGGGGAGUAUGGUCGCAAGGCUGAAACUUGAAGGAAUUGACGGAAGGGCACCACCAGGAGUGGAGCCUGCGGCUUAAUUUGACUCAACGCGGGAAACCUCACCCGGCCCAGACACGGCAAGGAUUGACAGAUUGAAAGCUCUUUCUCGAUUCGGUGGUUGGUGGUGCAUGGCCGUUCCUGGUUGGUGGAACGAUUUGUCUGGUCAAUUCCGAUAACGAGCGAGACUCUAGCCUGCUCGGUAGACGGCACGGCCCACAAGCGGCCGAGGUCGGUCAAUACUUCNUAGAGGGANCAGCGUGACGAUGAAAAGACGGUGCGAGAUGGAGCUAAAACAGGUCUGUGAUGCCCUUAGAUGUCUGGGGCCGCACGCGCGCUACACUGGAGGAGACAGCGGGUUGUGAGUUCCGACCGCUGCCGAGUGGAGUCGGCCGACGGCGACGUCGGCUCGACGUGUGGCGGCACUCCCGUGAACCUCCUCCGUGCUGGGGAUUGGGCUUUGUGACUCUCGCCCAUGAACGAGGAAUUCCCGGUAAGCACGAGUCACUAGCUCGUGUUGAACGCGUCCCUGCCCUUUGUACACACCGCCCGUCGCUACCGUUGGUCAGCUGGUUACGCGAGCGAGACGGAUCGGGGGCUCGCCUCCCGCCAAGUCGAGCAAGCUGUGACCGGUCUCGAAACGGUAAAAGUCGUAACAAGGUUUCC
rnacentral:rRNA from 1 species